UACGAAGGGGCUAGCGUUGCUCGGAAUUACUGGGCGUAAAGGGAGCGUAGGCGGAUAGUUUAGUCAGAGGUGAAAUCCCGGGGCUCAACCUCGGAACUGCCUUUGAUACUGGCUAUCUUGAGUAUGGGAGAGGUGUGUGGAACUCCGAGUGUAGAGGUGAAAUUCGUAGAUAUUCGGAAGAACACCAGUGGCGAAGGCGACACACUGGCCCAUUACUGACGCUGAGGCUCGAAAGCGUGGGGAGCCAAACAGGG
rnacentral:rRNA from 1 species